CAGUCGCCGCGGUAAAACGGAGGGGGCUAGCGUUGUUCGGAAUUACUGGGCGUAAAGCGCACGUAGGCGGCUUUGUAAGUUAGAGGUGAAAGCCUGGGGCUCAACUCCAGAAUUGCCUUUAAGACUGCAUCGCUUGAACGUCGGAGAGGUGAGUGGAAUUCCGAGUGUAGAGGUGAAAUUCGUAGAUAUUCGGAAGAACACCAGUGGCGAAGGCGGCUCACUGGACGACUGUUGACGCUGAGGUGCGAAAGCGUGGGGAGCAAACAGGAUUAGAUACCCCGGUAGUCCCUGUCUCUUAUAC
rnacentral:rRNA from 1 species